GGGCACUUAAUCUACAGUGAAUCACAUUUAAUAACACUCAAAUGCCCUAAAUCAGUUGUCAUUAUUCUUAUUUGGAAGAGACACAAUCUUUACAUAAGGGAAACUUGAUGACACAUUUGUUAGAUUUAAGUUGGCUCGAUGACCCAUAUAACAAAUUCUGUUAAGCAAAACACCUCUAUUAAACUCUUUUGAGCGCUGGAAUGAUCUCCAACACACG